rnacentral:lncRNA from 1 species
ACAAACUGCUUCCUCCUGGGGUACAACUCUGGGAUGGAGAACAAGGUCUCACCCUUGUACAUGGUGGCCGCGUCACCUGGGAUACAGCCUCGCCGCCGCCCGGCUGGCGCCGGAGGGGCGGGGCUUCCGCCGGACGAGGGACCCUAAGGACUCCGCGGUUCCAACCCCUGCUGCGCUCGCGGCCUGCCCGGACUUGACGCUUCCUGCAGUAACCCCCCAUGAAACCCUCACGCUGUGCUUUGAUUGGAGUAACUGGGCACAAUCCUGUAGGACAGACCUGUUCCAAACGACCUUGGCUAGCACAAUGAAGCUGAAACACAGCGGGUCCUAGCUUGAUUUUGGGGAGUUCGAUUAAUGGAAGAGAUUAUGGGCACGGAAAUAAAAUGUUUCUGGGCA